rnacentral:rRNA from 1 species
UACAGAGGCCCCAAGCGUUACUGAGAAUCACUGGGUUUAAAGGGUGCGUAGGUGGUCCGUUAAGUCAGUUGUGAAAUCCCUGGGCUCAACCCAGGAACUGCUUCUGAUACUGGCGGACUUGAGGCUAGUAGGGGUCACUGGAACUGACGGUGGAGCGGUGAAAUGCGUAGAUAUCGUCAGGAACGCCAAUGGUGAAGACAGGUGACUGGGCUAGAUCUGACACUGAGGCACGAAAGCGUGGGGAGCGAACGGG